AUACCUUUAUCGGCCUUUUGGCUAAGAUCAAGUGUAGUAUUUGUUCUUAUCAACUUAAGGGGGAUUAGAAAAAGAUCACCCCUGCCUAAAACAUCAAUCACAUAUCACUGGGAAGAUUAGACACAAACUCAAGCAUGCACUCAAU
rnacentral:snRNA from 1 species